UUAAAGCUUGCCCUGACAAAGACUUAAUGC
rnacentral:piRNA from 1 species